rnacentral:rRNA from 1 species
UACGGGGGGGGGCAAGCGUUGUUCGGAAUUACUGGGCGUAAAGGGCUCGUAGGCGGCCAACUAAGUCAGACGUGAAAUCCCUCGGCUUAACCGGGGAACUGCGUCUGAUACUGGAUGGCUUGAAUCCGGGAGAGGGAUGCGGAAUUCCAGGUGUAGCGGUGAAAUGCGUAGAUAUCUGGAGGAACACCGGUGGCGAAGGCGGCAUCCUGGACCGGUUCUGACGCUGAUGCGCGAAAGCGUGGGGAGCAAACAGG